ACGCCUUUGUUGGCACGAUAAUCACUUGUUAGUAGGUUCUUGGGGUCGAACAGUUUCAUGGCUUCUGCCUACAGUUUCUAUUUUUUGCCAAUCAAGCUGUUGUUCUUGGGAUGAUCGUCUUGUCUGUACCAGGAAUAGAGGGGAAAAAACCCUAAUCGGGUCUUAUCCAAUCGUCGACUGCAUGAAGGAGAAACAUGGGACUGGCACAUGGCAUAGUGGACUCCGAUACUUGGAUAGAGGGGAUGGACUCAGUCUUGACAUCCAUGGUUGAGAAUGCUGGAGCAGGAGGAUCUGAGAGGAGUGUGGACGAUGUAUUUUUGCUACAGCCAGGCGCAUGAGACAUUCUUCUUUCAGUCUAUUAAGUUGUUUGUAUCUAUCAUUGUAUGAAAAGGCAAAUAAGGAUAAACUGGUGUGUGAUGUUUUUGAGUUUGGCAAACUCACUAGGAGCUUCUUUGUCAAUUAUGGGAAUAAAAACUCUGGUAUGUUUGUUUGAUUUGAUACUUAUGUUGUACGGGAACCAUGUCCUACUAGUUCUAUAAAUGAUUAUCGUUUUUUUUUUACUUUUA